CUUAACUCAACCAUCUUCGUUCCUCUUUUCAAUUAAAACCAAGCCAUAAAGCAUACCAUUUUCUUAUUCCUUUCCCUUCACUUUGCCAUAGAAUCCAACCAAGUAUAAGACUAAGGUCGAUUUGUUCAAUUGAGGAACAAGAAGUGCGAGACCGGGUUCAAAUUUUUACUUUGUGCACUUAUUGUUUAGCUAUAUAACUUUCAUAUACAUUCCCUGUAUCACUUAAAGAUAAUAAAAUGUAUAAAAUUUUGUUUCAAAUUUAAUUUUG
rnacentral:lncRNA from 1 species